GCCACACCACUGAAAAACCAGUUCCUGUACGAUUACUGAAGUUAAGCAAUGUCAAACCUGGUCAGUACCUAGAUGGGUGGCCACUUGGGAAUACCAGGUGGUGUAAG